AGUGAACGCUGGCGGUAGGCCUAACACAUGCAAGUCGAACGGCAGUACAGUAAUAGCUUGCUCUUACGGGUGGCGAGUGUCGUACUGGUGAGGAAUACAUCGGAAUCUACUUUUUCGUGCGGGAUAACGUAGGGAAACUUACGCUAAUACCGCAUACGACGUACAGGUGAACACAGCUGAUCUUCGCACCGUGCGCGACUGAAUGAGCCGAGGUCGGAUUAGCUAGUUGUGGGGGUAAAGGCCCACUAAGGCGACGCUCCGUAGCUGCUCUGAGAGGAGCCGAAGCAACACUGGAACUGGGACACGGUCCAGCAUCCUACGGCAGGGAGACGGGGGGAAUAUUUGCGAAUGGGCGCAAGCCUGAUUCAGGCAUACCGGGUGGGUGAAGAAGGCCUUCGGGUUGUAAAGACCUUUUGUUGGGAAAGAAAAGCAGCAGGUUACUACCCCGCUGUUCUGACGGUACCCAAAGAAUAAGCACCGGCUAACUUCGUG
rnacentral:rRNA from 1 species